rnacentral:rRNA from 1 species
GAAGGGGUGUAUUUAUUAGAUAAAAAACCAACGCCCUUCGGGGCUCCUUGGUGAAUCAUAAUAACUUAACGAAUCGCAUGGCCUUGCGCCGGCGAUGGUUCAUUCAAAUUUCUGCCCUAUCAACUUUCGAUGGUAGGAUAGUGGCCUACCAUGGUGGCAACGGGUAACGGGGAAUUAGGGUUCGAUUCCGGAGAGGGAGCCUGAGAAACGGCUACCACAUCCAAGGAAGGCAGCAGGCGCGCAAAUUACCCAAUCCCGAUACGGGGAGGUAGUGACAAUAAAUACUGAUACGGGGCUCUUUUGGGUCUCGUAAUUGGAAUGAGAACAAUUUAAAUCCCUUAACGAGGAACAAUUGGAGGGCAAGUCUGGUGCCAGCAGCCGCGGUAAUUCCAGCUCCAAUAGCGUAUAUUAAAGUUGUUGCAGUUAAAAAGCUCGUAGUUGAACCUUGGGUCUGGCUGGCCGGUCCGCCUCACCGCGAGUACUGGUCCGGCUGGACCUUUCCUUCUGGGGAACCUCAUGGCCUUCACUGGCUGUGGGGGGAACCAGGACUUUUACUGUGAAAAAAUUAGAGUGUUCAAAGCAG